rnacentral:lncRNA from 1 species
GGCUGGUGUGAAAUACUCGCUCGCAUAUCCUGCAACGCUCUGGCUCACACUUAAUAGGUCUAAACACGAGUUCAAGUCACCGUGUGGGUUCCCAGAUAGCAAAUCAUUUUGGCUCUUUUGUGGCAUAUAUCUGGCCUCUUUGGGGUUGUUUUGGCAAAGGAUUAUAUUUGUGGGUCAGGUUUGGUUUUGUUAUGAUCUGCCAUAAUAAAUAAAUGGCGCAAUGUUAUUUUGGCCGAGUUUUGGCUUAUAUCUGGUUAACCAGCCAAAAAGGCAAUGAGCGGGACCAUAAUGUUUUUGAGCGUGUUCGCAUUCAUGAUUUUACGGGAGCGCUUUGGCAUCCCUCUGGCUUGCCAAAAGUCUGCACAGAGACCGGCAACUUUUUAACGGUUACGAGAGAUCGCACUUCAUUUCUCGGCGUGAUCACUGGAGUUCAUUGUUUUUUCAGAGCAGCAGCAGAGCAGCAGCAUGGCAGAAACAGCAGCAGCCCAGCCUAUCAGUCCACCCUAUCAUGGGUACAUGAGAGGCUGCAACCAAAUGUGUGGAAGCAAGUUUGAAGGGUGCCUUCUUCCAACUGUUGUCUUGAGAUCUCUCCACAGGUUUUUUAUGAGACUUGAAUAGACUCAUUGAUGGCCACUUUAGGAUCAUAUCUGGUUACUUUUUACUUUUUGGUGUUUUAGGUCAUUGUCCUACUGAGAUGACUAAUAACCUUGCAUUAUACCCCUUGAUUUUUAUCAGUCUUUAGAUUUCAUAAUGCCAUGUACACAGACAAGGUCUCUGGUGAAAAAGGGUCCCAAUAUUUUCAUCCAUGAUUGUACAUGCCUUGAUAAUUUAAAACUACCCUUUUGAACUAGACGAUUCUUUUUUCAGCUCUUCUGAAAGAAGUUCUUGUCAAUCAACAAAUUCUGAUGGAUCAGCAAAAGAACAUAAUCCGAAUGAUCCAAGACAUGCAGAGAUCCACCAAUGCUGUCACAGGGAUUCCCACCACUAACAUAUUUCCCUUGAAUGAUAAGCCUGCCCUGUAUGCUCUUGAGAGGGAUCUAGGAAGUCAACCAGACCUCCGUAACAAACUGGUGAGCUGUUUUCUUUCUUAUCUUUCUGCUUUCUUCUUUUCUUUUUUAAAUUUAUGGUUAUGCCGAAUAGAUGAUGGAAAAUGGGACUCUUUUAUUUUGAAUUCCUAAUUUUGUUGUUUUUUUCUUUUUGUACUUUAGGUCAUCACUCUUGGAUUGGUGGGAGGGGCAACAGUUAAAGAAACUGUGUGGCGCAUUCUGAAGCAGGCAUCAAAAAUGAUCUUGCGAAGACCAUAUCAUGGCGCGGCCUGAAUGGGAAAGUGCUGUUUGAAAAGCUCCACCUCAGGGCAGUUGUGACAGGUAAGGAUUAUCCUGCACCCAUGUUGACUGAUUUUAUUGUAUUUAUUAUUAUUAUUGUUAUUGUUAUUAUAAUAUUAUUACCAGAUUAAGUUUUUCUGCUGAAUUGUUUUUCUUUUAUUUGUUAUGUCAUUUUCAGAUGCUGUCAGACGUAACCCUGUAUGCAUUGAAGCCACUGAUCUGAGCAUCGCUGAUGCAAUUAAACGGUGGUUCUACUGGGCAGGGGAUAGGGAGGGGGGGGAGGAAAAAUCGGCUGCCAGGCGCCAGCCGGCCGACAGUAUAAAUUUGUGUUAAAAAAAACAAAUGUCUUAAAAUUAAUUGAUGAGCAAGAGACACCAGAAUAACCAGUUUCGUUUUUUAUACAUACAGUUAUAACACAUAAAUAGCAC